CACGUAGGGGGCGAGCGUUGUCCGGAUUUAUUGGGCGUAAAGAGCUCGUAGGCGGCUCGGUAAGUCGGGUGUGAAACCUCCAGGCUCAACCUGGAGACGCCACCCGAUACUGCCGUGGCUAGAGUCCGGUAGAGGAGCGUAGAAUUCCUGGUGUAGCGGUGAAAUGCGCAGAUAUCAGGAGGAAUGACCAGCGGCGAAGGCGGCGCUCUGGGCCGGUACUGACGCUGAGGAGCGAAAGCGUGGGGAGCAAACAGG
rnacentral:rRNA from 1 species